GCUGGGACAGGGGAUUCCCAGCUCACGGGCUGUGGCUCUGGAGGAUGGUGAAGUCUCAGGGUCCCUGGUGCUGCGUCUCAGUCCCUGUAGUGCUGCUGUCUUUGGUAGCAGUGGUGAGGGGCAUUGCAGGGCUUUGUUGUUUGGAGUUCUUUGCUGCUUUGAGCUCUGGUCAAUGAGGCUGGAUUCCUGAAGCUGGUGUCUGUGUCUUUGCUGCUGCCCCUGCCCCCUGGCCAAACAAACCUGCAAGGAUUUAAGGUUUUAGGCCUGGUAUUCCCUUUGGUGAGCUUCCUCCCAGCCCUGAUGUACUCCUGGAAGUGCCAUGGAGGUGUUCUCCUCUCAGGACUGAGGAGCUGUAGGCUGCUGCUGCUUCUGUUCUGCCCUGGGAACCCUUGGGCUUGGAGAGAAGCCUGAAGAUGGGCUGGGGAGACAUGAUCUGGGAUAUUCCCCCCUCCUGAUGUUUGGUACCAGUGCAGUAGGAAAAUCCAGGUUUCCAUCUAGCUCAGGAUUUCUUGGUCUAGGGGCCAAAAUUGUGGGAGAUGCUGGAGUUUGAGGGGGUAUUGUGCUAGCUCUGAUGUAGAGCUGCCUCCUGUCAUGAAGUAAACAGCACUUGCUGCAACUGGCAGACUUCUGUUUGUUUCCCUCAGAGCAUUUAGAGGGCUCUGUAGCUGCUGGGCUGUUCCCAACAGGUGCAAGGUCCUUGUCUGUGCAGUGUAAUGAAUCGUAUUCCACUGAGACUUGAAUGAGCCUCCAGGAAUUUGUGAGCUGAUGAAGGGAUUUCUGAGCCAAAGUUCCUGACCUGAAUAAGGUUGGCAGCUCUAGUGGACACGCUGAUUCCUGGUAAUUGUGCCCUUCUGGCUGUGGAGCACCUUGGGGAAGCAGUGGCCUGAAGCUGUUCUUGUCUCUGGCAGUUGUGGGGCACGCUUGGAUCUCUGCUGCAGCUGUUCUGGUGAUCCGUGCUGUGCUUGAGGGAGAGAUCUUGGCUGUGGCUGUGUCCUGCCUGCCUCGGCUGGCAAAUGCUGCGGUUGUGGUUGGCGCGUGGCCGUGGGGAUCCUGGGGACAGUACCCUGGAGCGAGUGCAGUGAUUCCUGAGGAUGAAGAGAGGCUUGGCAUGAGGUGAAGAGACUUGGAGCCACCAUUUUCUCAGAAUGACACUUCUGCUGAAAGCUCCUGCUCAGAAAGUUCUCCACGUCACCGACACGCACGUGACAAAGAGGGGGACCCAGAAGUUCUCGGGGCCCUGGCAGCGAGAGCAGCAGCAAAUGGUGUUGGAGAGUUUCUGUGAGCCCCUGUUUGGCGUUCCAGGUGCUGCAAGUCUUUGGCCCAACUGCUGGGAGCCACUGGACCCUUGAUGAGCAUUGACUGCGCUUGUGGAGGGCCUGGCCACGUGGGCAUUCCUGGGAGGAGGAGUGCCCUGGAGUGAGUGCAGUGACCCCUAAAGUUGGAGAGGCGCUUGGGAUGACACAAGGAGACUUGGAGAAACCAUUUUCUAGACUCACACCUGUGUUGAAAGGUCCUUGGCAAAUGCUGGACGAGAACUGACACAGAAUUUCUUGGGACCCUGGCAGAGAGAGAGAAGCAGCAAAUGGUGUUGGGAGAGUUUCUAUUGAAAAUGGAGUUGCUGAGCUAAGUUUUAACAGUAAGAAGGCAGCAAGUCCUAUAGGGUUUGACAGUCUGGAAGCACUGGACGGGUCCUCUUUAUAUACUGUGGCAUCAGUGUUGGAGUCUAUGGGUACCCUGGAGUGAGUGCAGUAACCCUGAGGAUGGAGAAGGGUUUGGGAUGAGGCCAAGAGACCUGGGGAAACCAUUUUGCAGAAUGACACUUGUGUGGAAAGGAGAGCACUGAGGACUUGCACCUGCAGCCCACUGGAGCCUGGACCUCAGCAUUUUCCAGCGGCGCCGGAGGGACUGGGACCGAUGAGAGACUGAGAGAGAGCCGCGCUACACCUACGGCAAGAACUUUCUCAAUUUGCCACCUCACUCCAGAGCAAGAGGUUCCAGGCACAGUGUGAUCUGGGUUUCUCUUUGUUCUGGGUCACGGCUGACAUCUGUUUGAGGUUUUCGCCUGUUCUGGAUUAUGGCUGAUGCGCGGUCUAGACUUUCCCCCAUGCAGGACAUCAGGUACAACCUCACCCACUUUUUUCCCCCAUUCCAGACUUCUGGCACAGUCCCGUUUGGGUUUCCCCUCAUACUGGAUUCUGGGUUGGAUUCUGGUAUUGGAUUCUUGCUUUGGUCUGGGGCUUCCCCUGUUCUGAAUUCCAGCUGUGAUCCUGUUUUCUACCCAUUCAUGACUUAAUGCACAAUCCCUGAGGGGUUUUCCUCAUUCUGGAUUCUACAUGUGACCCUCCCAGGUGUUCCAACAUUCAGCGCAGAUCCUCUCACCGUUAUCCUUCGUCAUGGGCUCUUUUCUUCUUCUUCCUUUCUUUCAGAUGCUGGACUUGCCUCUGUGGGCGUGUGCUGAGCUCUUGCUGCAGGGAACUGUCAGGCCUGAAUGGCUGGGAGUUCGUGUUCUUCUCACUGGGGAAUUGGAAAUAAUUAUUAAUUGCAGAAAUGUUUUCUGAAGCCUUUCCCCUUUGCUGGUAGAUCUUCUCCUUCUGCCUUUGAAUUUACAGCUGUUCCCUGCUGUCUUUUGCCUGAAUUCCUUGCAGCUGCUAACUGGGAAAACCUGGAAUAACAGAGGGGACAGAAGUGACAUUUUUAGCUGAAAACCUGAGGCAAUUGAGAGGGGACACAAGAAUGGUUUGUGUAGGAAAAUGUGAGGGGAUGUUGAGGGGAGCGAGGUAGCGUUUUUGAGGGAAAAGCUGAGGUGAUGUUUAGGGGAGAGAGUGAAAAUUUUUGGAGCAGAAAAGAGUUAAUCAAUAUUGUACCAGAAGGAAAAUCUUGGGGGUAAAACUCGAUGUGAUCUGUAGGGGACAGAAUGAAUAUUUUGGAGUAAAAAAAGUAGUAGACAAGUAAGGAAAUUUGUGGAGGCAAAACUUGACAAAAUCUCAAGAGCAGAGAAUGAACACUGAAGAAAAACUGGGCUGAGGAGCAGUGGGCAUGUAGGGAAAAUCUGGGGGCUAAAUGUGAGCGAAUCUCUGGAGGAGAGCAUGAACAUACUGAGGUAGCAUGAGGGAAGCAGUUGUGGGCAGACGGGGAAAUUUUGGGGUAAAGAUUAUAUGAAAUAAUCUGUAGAGUGAUCGUUUUGGAGUAAAAAUUAGGUGCAGAGGGACUGUUUGGGGGGGUAAGUCUUGACAAAAGCCGCAUGGUAGGAAGUAAAUAAUGCUGCAGGAGAAAUGAGGGAAUCCAUAGUGGACGUGUAGGGGAAUUUGGGGGGGGCAAAUACGCAAAUGACAUAAUCUCAAGGUUGAGAAUGAAUAUUUUAGGUAAAAAUGAGGUGAUAAGUUAUGGACAGUUAAGGAAAAUUUUGGGGGUUAAACUUGAGGUAAUCUCUAGGGAGAGAGAGAACACUGGCAAACUUGAGGCAGUCACUGGGGGUAGGCAAGGGAAUUUGGGGGUAGAACUUGGGAGGAUUGUAGGGCAGAGAAUGAACAUAUUGGGGUAGAAAUGAAGUGAUCAGUAGGUAACAUGAGGUAGAAUUUAGAGGCCAAACCCUGAGGUAAUUAUGUAGGAACAGUAGGUGUCUUUGGGAAAAAAAUCUGACUUAAUUUGUAGGGGACAGAAUGAACAUUUUGGGGAUAAGAGACA